UUGAACGCUGGCGGCAUGCUUUACACAUGCAAGUCGAACGGUAACAGGCCUUCGGGUGCUGACGAGUGGCGAACGGGUGAGUAAUGCAUCGGAACGUGCCCAAUCGUGGGGGAUAACGUAGCGAAAGUUACGCUAAUACCGCAUACGCCCUGAGGGGGAAAGCAGGGGAUCUUCGGACCUUGUGCGAAUGGAGCGGCCGAUGUCAGAUUAGCUAGUUGGUGGGUAAAGGCCCACCAAGGCGACGAUCUGUAGCGGGUCUGAGAGGAUGAUCCGCCACACUGGGACUGAGACACGGCCCAGACUCCUACGGGAGGCAGCAGUGGGGAAUUUUGGACAAUGGGCGCAAGCCUGAUCCAGCCAUGCCGCGUGCGGGACGAAGGCCUUCGGGUUGUAAACCGCUUUCGGCCGGGAAGAAAUCGCAUCUCCUAAUAUGGGGUGUGGAUGACGGUACCGGAAGAAGAAGCACCGGCUAACUACGU
rnacentral:rRNA from 1 species